rnacentral:misc_RNA from 1 species
CCAAAGAUGGUGGGCCUCCGUGCCCCCGUCCCCAACCCAUUGCUGACUAAAAAACCCUUUUGCCUCGGGGGCAGAGCGUCCGCCGCCGCCCCCGGAGGACCACCUAACGCUGUCUCUUUGCGUCGGAGUAAUUGAUUAAAUGAAUGA